UCUUCAGAUGGAGAUCCCAAGCCUUCUGGCGAUCUGUUCAAAUUAAGCCGAGAGCUUAAGGAAACGAUCCUUUUUGAGUUGUUUUCUCUUGGUCAGAUUGUACCGGGGAAGGUUUUUCCGGUUUAGCCCGGAGGGCUUGUAGCUCAGUUGGUUAGAGCGCGCGCUUGAUAAGCGUGAGGUCGGAGGUUCAAGUCCUCCCAGGCCCACCAGUUUAUAGUGUCUGAUCUUGUUUUUGGUUGGAUUGUAGCUGUUUAUAAAAUAUUUGCUUAUCAGGAUGUUUCACAGCUUUUUAUGAGGCUCUGAUAGAGUGUUUUAAGGGUUUAGAACUAUUUGUUUCAGUUCAGAUGGUUUAUAAGGAUUGUUCCUUAUUUUAAUCCUGAAGAAGGGGCCGUAGCUCAGCUGGGAGAGCACCUGCUUUGCAAGCAGGGGGUCGUCGG
rnacentral:misc_RNA from 1 species